GGCUUACGGGUUCCCCUUUGGCAGUG
rnacentral:piRNA from 1 species